rnacentral:rRNA from 1 species
AUUGAACGCUGGCGGCAUGCUUUACACAUGCAAGUCGAACGGUAACAGGCCUUCGGGUGCUGACGAGUGGCGAACGGGUGAGUAAUGCAUCGGAACGUACCCAGAGGUGGGGGAUAACGCAGCGAAAGCUGUGCUAAUACCGCAUGUGAUCUGAUGAUGAAAGCGGGGGACCGAGCAGCAAUGUUUGGCCUCGCGCCUUUGGAGCGGCCGAUGUCGGAUUAGCUAGUUGGUGGGGUAAAGGCCUACCAAGGCGACGAUCCGUAGCUGGUCUGAGGGGACGACCAGCCACACUGGGACUGAGACACGGCCCAGACUCCUACGGGAGGCAGCAAUGGGGAAUUUUGGACAAUGGGCGCAAGCCUGAUCCAGCAAUGCCGCGUGCGGGAAGAAGGCCUUCGGGUUGUAAACCGCUUUUGGCAGGAACGAAACGGUGUCCGCUAAUACCGGGCGCUAAUGACGGUACCUGCAGAAUAAGCACCGGCUAACUACGUG